GGAAGAGUGAUAGCUCAGUGGAAGAACACCCGCUUUGCAUGCAGAAGGUCCCAGGUUCAAUCCUUUGCAUCUCCA